rnacentral:lncRNA from 1 species
AGCUGACUGACUAUUCUAAUUCCGCCUUUAAGACUCAAAUCUAUAUUGUUAUCCCAAUAUAGAUUUGAGCUGGAAGGGAAAAGCAUCCUUAAAAACAUCGAUAAAGGAUGUCUCAGUCCAAAAAAUCCAAAAAAGGAGAUUGUAUUUACCUGGGUUGAGGCAUACAAUAUUAUUGACGUUUGUUUUUCUUUCUAUCUCGUACAUGUUAUGACGGCUAGAGAACAAGUUACAGAAAAAAAACUAGAGGGUGUUAUUAUUCCCUAAUGUAUGACUGAUCAUUUGUAACAUGUUUGUAACAAGCCAUUAGCAUGAAGUAUAUAAUUUUCCGAUAAUGAUUCUGUCUAGAUGAACUCAUGAGUACACCACCGACUACGAUUUUUAUUAUAUUUCUCUCAAUAGGGCGUUAGCUGUAAUAGGGAUGUAACACAGGUUUGAGGCUUGAGGUAGUUCAGAUAUGUUUUAUAAGUUUUGUGGGUUGUCGCACUGCCUUCCCGAACUAGUGUUUUUGUAAAGCUGACAUAACGACGAAUUGGACGGUCAUGUUUUUGCGAGUUUUAGGCUUUUUAGUUACGAAGGAGAAAGCAAUGAAAUCCAAUUUUAGGCUUGUAUUCGUCGCUAGAUGGCGUUCGGGUUGAAAAACGCACGCAUAGUAACCAUAGUAACCACAGGUGACAGGUAUGAGAGAAAGAGUUUGUAUAUGCCUGUAACGUGUUUUUAUGAAAUAGAUUUAUUAAUGAUACAGUCUUUUAAUUGGAAGGGGAAACGGGUAUUAGGACUACACAGUAUUAAAAGACUCUUCCCUGAAGGAAAUUUGCAGUUGUGGACUUUCUUUAGAUGACUCUUCUAUCAUAAAUAUUUUCCUGCUUCUUGGAACAAAAAACAUAUGAUGUCUUGAUGCCAACUAAGUGGCAUUGGAAAGAUUGUAAAAAGAUGUUAAAGGAAAAACCUAAAGUUGGAGGACGAUACAUUUGUUUCCUGUUACUAGUUUUCUAAAACAAAUGGUAAAUUGGUAAAAUGAAACAACACAUGACCUAUUCCUUUAAAUCAAUUAUUUUCACAAGUGGAGAUGAUUGAUUCCACAAUCUUCAGCUUCCCAGGCAGACACCCAUCCACAAAGCCAUGAAGUCAGCAACCAAUGUGUGGAAUCUGAUAUCCUAGCCCUCAAAGUCCCAGUUUAUUAAUAUGCUUAGGGCUUCUUCGCGCGCUAAUCCCAUAAAGACUCAUCAUAACGAUUCCGAAAUGGUUCGUCAGUUGCGCCUUCACGGCCGUGUAGUAGAACCUAUUAAAGAUGAAGUAAGGUUUUAGGUCGCGAGCUGGGUCUGUCCGCAGAAUUACUGGAACGUCACCCGUUUCCUGGUCCCGGUUUGUCAAUUGGAAAUCAUUUACGCCAAAGAACUGUUCGUGGAAGCUGAUUUCGGUGAGACGCAAGUGCUGAUUCGUUUGAUGGUCGAUUAUGCUAACAUUGCAGCCAAGGAACAUGCGUUGCUCAAUCGGAUUGAAAUCGUGACCUCGGAAGAAGAGCGUAUACUUCUGGAAGAACCGUCCAGUCGCAACCAGUGUGUUGCCACGUUACUGCCUAUUCGCACUGCCGGUGUUCAGGGAGAUUGCCGAUCUUAUAGCUAUUGCGUAGCACUGAGCUCUGAUCAGACACAACCAAACUGGAAAGUAUUACUGUAGGAAAGGGUACGUAGGCUUCUAAUAGUGAAGUACAGCUCUGACGUCUUUAGUAAGCGGAAAAGCAGUGGCACCCAAUCUUUAUUCUUAAAACCCAGAGGUGUUCUUCACUAUUCAGGAUGAUUGAUUGAUGAUACUUGUUGGUUAAACCAUGAAGAACACCAAUACAUGGAUAAGUGGAAGGUUAUAAAAGUAUAAAACUGUAAUUCCUUAUGGCAUUUUCAUUCACGCAUGCGCGGCAGUUCGUGAGCAGACGAAGCAUCGAAAGAGCCUAGCGCAGUCUAGCUGCAUCCUACCAGAUACUAGUAGAACCCGAAACAUUGUUUUGACAAGUACUGUCAUAUUUCGGUUGCAGAUUUUCACUAAAUACCAAUAAAAAGAUUCACAUUUUCGUGAUCCUCGUCAAAUUUGGGGCCGACUCCAUGUAUCAGCUCAAAAUACCCGAAAAUCGUCAAAGAAUCGCAAAUUUUCCUGAACAAAAAUAAAACGAAAACAAAGUGCCGAUUUUUUGUACAAAAAAGUCGGGCUUAAUAGCUGAAAUAUAUUUCAAUAGAUGGCAGUGCAUCUAAGGUCUAGUCGAAUUUACAUUCGUCUGAAGUGCGCCAUCGCCAUCGUGAACGAAGCAUGGGUCACUACAAAUCAUCUUCUGAUACGUGGUCCGGUUUAUAAAAAUCUUUUAUUGCUUUAAUAUGUCAUUUUGUAAUUCCUUGGGCUUAAACACUCUCUAGUCAACAAAGAAACUGCUUUUCUCACUUUACUUUUACCAAUUGUUUUUAUACUCGUACAUUUAGUUGAUUAUAGAAAACAUCUUGCCAUUCACACGAAUGCCUUUGUCUUAUCUGAUCGUGUUAACAUGCUAAUUCGUUCUUGCCACUGACCGAAGCUUUUUUUUCAAAUUUUGCAUCUUUCUAAAAUUUAAUCACACACGAGCAUUCUGGCAUGUGUCAGGCAACAGGUUUCAGGAAUGGCAUGGUCCCCUGUUGAGCCUGGCCUACACCCUCGGUUAUUGAAAAAUGGUAUUGGAACAAGUAAUUACAUGGAGCUGGAGCGUCAAUUUGGGACUUGAUUUGUCAUCUUUUAGUUGAGGUGGAAAAACACAGAUUGGACUCACCAUUUUAUUCCCACACUUAUCAUUGGAAUUCUGGGAUGGUAGCUGUUGUUGCAGGACACUCUCCUUGGUUCGUUAGUGAAGUUCCAGAAAGCAGCAUUCCAAGAGCAAGAAUACAAUUUGCCAGCCGUCAACUCAAUAUAGAUUGUUUAACUUUGUUUUCUUGCCUUGAUGGUGAAAUUGAAUUAUAUUGAGAUUUAAAAAAUUUUGAAGCUAUUUGCCUACUAGUGAGAAAACAUGUGAAGAGUUGCUGAAAUGUGUCAACAGAGCAAAAUGCUAAACAUGGAUUAAAUUCGAAAAUAACUAGUUUGAGUUGCAGUGGCAGAAAUUUAAAGUUGGUGCCAGGAUAAUGGCUAUCCAUGUUGAGAAUUUGAAUUGCAAAUUCUAAUUCUACCUAUAGGUAAAAGUAUAUAAGUACUUGUUGCCUAUAGAUUGCUCAAUGUGAAUCUAAGUUUGCAUGUCUUGAAAUUGGUUUUCUUCUUCAAUUAUAAAAUUCAAUACACAAAGAUAUAAAUGGAA